CAGUCGCCGCGGUAAUACGUAUGUCACAAGCGUUACCCGGAUUUAUUGGGCGUAAAGCGCGUCUAGGUGGUUAUGUAAGUCUGAUGUGAAAAUGCAGGGCUCAACUCUGUAUUGCGUUGGAAACUGCGUAACUAGAGUACUGGAGAGGUAAGCGGAACUACAAGUGUAGAGGUGAAAUUCGUAGAUAUUUGUAGGAAUGCCGAUGGGGAAGCCAGCUUACUGGACAGAUACUGACGCUGAAGCGCGAAAGCGUGGGUAGCAAACAGGAUUAGAUACCCGCGUAGUCCCUGUCUCUUAUACU
rnacentral:rRNA from 1 species